UUAAGUUCAGCGGGUAUCCCUACCUGAUCCGAGGUCAAGUUCAGAAAAUUGGGCCUUGAUGGACGCCGAAUCCGCGCGGGCUCCAGGAAGCGCGAACAGUGCUGCGCGAUUAGGAGGCCCGGCAGGACCGCUGCCAAUGCCUUUGAGGCGAGUCCACGCGGUAGUCGCUGGAGGACAGACGCCCAACACCAAGCAGGGCU
rnacentral:misc_RNA from 1 species